UACGAAGGGUGCAAGCGUUAGUCGGAAUUACUGGGCGUAAAGCGUGCGUAGGUGGUUUCUUAAGUCCGUUGUGAAAGCCCUGGGCUCAACCUGGGAACUGCAGUGGAUACUGAGAGGCUAGAGUGUGUCAGAGGAUGGUGGAAUUCCCGGUGUAGCGGUGAAAUGCGUAGAGAUCGGGAGGAACAUCAGUGGCGAAGGCGGCCAUUUGGGACAACACUGACGCUGAGGCACGAAAGCGUGGGGAGCAAACAGG
rnacentral:rRNA from 1 species